rnacentral:misc_RNA from 1 species
UAAUUUUCAAAUUUAUUUUUUUUUUCUCACUUCUCUAUUUUAAUAAUAAAAAUAAUAAUUAGAAGACAAUCAUCCAGAGAACGACGCCUGUAAUUCCCUCGGCAAAGCUGAUUGAUUUCCCUCUUGACCUUUCAUCAACGGCUAUUCGUUGGCGAAGGUGGCUUCUGCAGCCGCUAUUUUAAGAGUUUUUUGGAUUUUCCAUUUUUAAGUUUAUUGGCUUUUUCAGAGAGAGGAAUGGCCAGUGGCUAGUUAGCAGUGGCUAGUUAGCAGUGGCCUUCUGGAUGAACGGUUUCAGCUUCUGGUGUACUUGGG